ACGUGCGCCGGGCGCGGAGGCUUGCUAACUUGUGCUGACCCGUUUGGGCAUCUUGUACCUUUUAAAUAGAGUGCCUUUUGGCUUAUGCAGUGUCACGUGGUCUCUCAGGACUCCUGGCAGGUGAGAACUUGGCCAAAGUCUCGCGGCUAAUAACUAAACACGAAUGGAACUCAACUUCGAUUCCGGCGCUUCAGCCCACCUCGCCAAGCCGCCCUUUCGCGCCACUCGUGGGACGCUCAGACAUCCCCUCCCAAACAGCUUUCAAGAAAGAAGCAGCUGGCUGUGUCCGGAAUAUUCACUGUCGCUAUCAACUGCUGCCACUUGCGCCUUUCUAAGCUCCUCCCCUAACGUGCUCCAGAAAACCUUCCCCGAUCCCCUGCAAUCUGUAUUAGGGCCACUCCAGUGUUCUGCGGUUCUUUCUCUGCAGUUAGCAUGCUGUGCUCAUCGGGGUGCCAGACACUAGUAGGUACUCAGUAAAUGAACUAGCAACCUCGGGUCAUUUCUUUCACUCAGUUAGUCACUCAACACUCUUUUUUUUUUUUAUCUUUUUUGGCCAGGCUGAGAAUCAGAUCCGAGCUGCAGCUGUAGCGCUGCACACUGGAUCCUUUAACCCACUGUGCCUGGCCAGGGAUAGAACCUAUCUACGUCCUAGCGCAGCAGAAAUGCUGCUGAUCCCGGUGCACCACAGCGGGAAGUCCCACAUGGAAAUAUCUUGAGCCUUCUUUACCCAUUGCCAGACGUUAUCCAAGAGCUUUUGAAGCAUUAUCUCUUGUUGGGGUUUUUUUGCUUUUUUUUGUUUUUGCUUUUUAGGGCCAUACCCAUGGCAUAUGGAGGUUCCCAGGCGAGGGGUCGAAUCGGAGCUGUAGCUGCCGGCCUACACCACAGCCAGAACAACGUGGGAUCUGAGCCGAGUCUGUUAUCUACACUGCAGUUCAUGGCAAUGUCGGAUCCUUAGCCGUCUGAGUGAGGACGGGGGUCGACCCCACGUCGGAUCCUUAGCCGUCUGAGUGAGGACGGGGGUCGACCCCACGUCCUCAUGGAUGCUAGUCAGGUUCUUUAACCACUAAGCCACGACAGGGACUCAGAGAGUCAUUAUCUCUUCUAAUCCUCCCAACAACCCUGUAAGGAGAUGCUUUUAUUGUCCACAUAGUAAAGAUAAGGUAAAUGAGACACAGAGUCAUAGAGGGAGUCUAACCAGGGGCAAGUGCUCCUGAGAGGCACGUGGAGCCUCAGGUAACUCUCCAAACACCUGGCUCUGGGCUGAAAUGAAUUACCCAAGAACCUGAGUUGGUUUCCCCUGAAUUGUAGAAGAGGCUAGCAGGUCACUGGCCUGACUUUUUCAUUCCCUAAAUAUCUAUUAGAUACCUACAUCAUAGCAUUGCUUCUAAGCAUUGAAAUACAAAGAAGAGUGUCACAAAAAUCUCUGCCUUCACAGGAUCUUCAGUGAGAAUAAACAUCUUUAAACCAAUAAUGACAAUAUAGUGCAAUAAGUGUUUCGAUGUCUAGAGGAGAUUGCAGUAGGAUGCCUGGAAGAAGAUUCAGUUCACAUUGCUUAGGAAUUUUCUUGUGCAGCAUGUUAAGAAUCUGGCGAUGUCACUGCAAUGGCUUGGGUCACUAUGGUGGCCUGAGUUCAAUCCCUGGCCAGAGAACUUCUGUCUCAGCCAAAAAAAAAAAAAAAAAAAAAAAAAAAGCACAACAACAACAACAUUGCUUGUUGCAUUGGAUGGAUUGGAGUUUGGAAACUGUAAAGAUGGGAGAUCUCCAAAGGCUUCCCUAGUCGAGGUGAUGCUUGCACUUUUUUGAGGAACAGGUUCUAUAGGCAAGCCUGGAAAGGGAAAAGGGCAGACCAGCAGGGAACUGUGUGGGGCCCUCCAGAGAAUCAUGAAUGACUUGAGCAGCAGAGUUCAGAUAGAAGCUACUCAGUGGGUAACAACCAAAGGAAAAGGAGGGUCUUAUAUACCUGGCAAAGGCCCUCUUGAGAAAAUUCUCUUCCCUUAUCAUGGUUGGGAUAAUAUAAAUGGAUGGACGUGGGAACACUGCAAACCUCAGUAGAAAUACAGGAUAGUGUGACUGUUAGCCCCAUGGCUUCUGUGUGCUCACUGAUAUGGAAUGUGACAGGAGUCAGAGGCCAGAGUCAGCUCCCAAAGCCUUGUCCCUAUUUCAGGUCCCCAGAUGUGUUUUCUAUCCCCAGUGACUGUCCUGAAGGUGGGGCUUGUUAGUUACCAGACCUGGAAGCCAUCAUGGCUGAAGGAUCAUAGUUUGAGGUCACAGAGCUCCCACAACCAGAAAAGGAGAAUAAAAUUUUAUGUUUUUUUUAACUUUUAAUUUUGAAAUAAUUACAGACUCACAGGGAGUUGCAAAAGUAGUACAUAGACAUAGAGACCUGUGCACCUUCACCCAGUUUCUUCCAGUGGCAACAUCUUACAUAGCUGUAGUACAAUAUCAAAAUCAGGAAAUCGAUACUGAUGCAAUGCGCAAAGGUGUUUUUGAAGACAUCUGCAAGGUUCUCACCAAACUGAGUGAAGGCUCUAUAGACCCUGCAUUUAAAAAAAAUCCUCUAGGGGCGUUCCCAUCGUGGCGCAGUGGUUAACGAAUCUGACUAGGAACCAGGAGGUUGCGGGUUCAGUCCCUGCCCUUGCUCAGCGGGUUAACGAUCCGGCGUUGCCGUGAGCUGUGGUGUAGGUUGCAGACGCGGCUCGGAUCCUGCGUUGCUGUGGCUCUGGCGUAGGCUAGUGGCUACAGCUCCAAUUCGACCCCUAGCCUGGGAACCUCCAUAUGCCGCGGGAGUGGCCCUAGAAAAGGCAAAAAGACAAAAAAAAAAAAAUCCUCUUUAGGAGUUCCUGUUGUGGCUCAGCGGUAACAAACCCAGCUAGUAUCCAUGAGGAUGUGGGUUCCAUCCCUGGCCUUGCUCAGGAUUCAGCGUUGCUGUGAGUUGUGGUGUAGGUGGCAGAUGCAGCUUGGAUCCAGCGUGGCUGUAGCUGUGGCGUAGGCCAGGGACUACAGCUGCGAUUCAACUCCUAGCCUGGGAAUUUCCAUAUGCCGCAGAUGCAGC
rnacentral:lncRNA from 9 species